rnacentral:tRNA from 1 species
CGGGAUGUAAGUCAGAGGUCAGACGGCUUGUUUUGGGGACAAGCAGCCGCUGGUACCCUUCGGGAAGCAAGCUACAAAUCCAGCCAUCCCGACCA